rnacentral:pre_miRNA from 1 species
UGAAAUGCUCAAACAUCAGUGGUAGUUGUUCAUGCACCAUGAUUGUCUGAGCAUAUGCC